rnacentral:lncRNA from 1 species
CUCUUGCGACUUUCUCUUGCCUCUUCUUUCUUGUCUCUCCAUCCACAGAAGGAGAAAAGGGCAGAAGAGGCAAUUGUGUUGCAGGAAAAGAGGAUAUCAAAGCAGACUGCAAUACUUGUGUGGAAAUAGAGGACAGAAAGGUAAGUCUAUAUUUUUCAUCUUUUUGGUUUCAAACAAAACAAGAU